AUUUGGAAACAUUUUAGCCUCUGUGGCUACCCCUUUUUUGUCCCUCAACUUGAGAUGUAUGAAGGCUUUUGGUUUCCCUGGGAGUGGGUGGAGGCAGCCAGGGCUUACCUGUACACUGACUUGAAUAGUUGAAUAAAAAGAUGGGAAGAGCGUGGUGUAGAGAAAGAGU